GAGUUUUGAUCUUAUUAGUUUUAUACCUGUGUAACAGGAUACAUUAAAAUACGCAACCAACCGUCCAAUCAGAUGAAAGAGGUACGUACCCUAUCGUUGGGUAUUGUGCAAUCACGUGAUGCUCAUGUCGUCGUAUGACGGUUAAAUCUUUGGUUAGAAUUUUUGUUGUUGUUUUUACCUGUUUUUACAGUUUUUACUUUAUUUUUCUAUUUACAUCAGAUUUAUAUUUUGUAAUUGCCUAUCAGACAAUACGUAUUUAGAAAAAUAAUAAGAAUUAGGAUCGUGUUUUUUUUUAAAUCCUGGAUAUUAAUUGGAACCCUUGGUAACAUUACUGCUUUUGAUAUAAAAAGUGCAUUUUGAUUAUUUACUUGGGCUAGGAUAUUAAAAUAUCGGUUGGAUUGUACGACAUAAAUAGAUGUAGGUAUGAUUAUUUAUAUAUAUGUAUGUAUUUAUAAAGCUUACUAUCUGUUUUGCAUUUUCAGUUUUUGAUCAGACAUUUCAUUUUAUUUGUGAAAUGCCCACAAAAAAGCUUCCCAUGAUUCAACAUCAGUGUGUUUGCUGCAUAAUGGAUCAUUCCUGCUGAAUUUUUAGAUCAUUUGAAGACUACAUGGAAAAAACCAGAUAAUAUGUUACAUUUUCAUAGAAAUUGAUAGCGAGACAAUUUUAUAGGCAAGUGUUAGCAUUAUUCGAGGCACCAUCAAAGAAAGCAAUAAUAAUAUGCUUAGUCCCAGAGAUAUUACAGCUUAGUUAUUUUGCCCUACAGGAGAAAAACCAGAGUAGUUCACUCGUAAUUGCAUUUUCUCGGCUCCAGUUAAAAUGAACAAAGCUGGUUUUUCCUGUGGUCUUCAUUUGAAAUAACGUAAAUAAAUGUUUAUACAUAUGUAUGUGAUGAUUAAAUUGGUGUUAAGGAAAUAAAAAUGUCUUUCGAUAUUAAUAUAUAUUUUUCGAUAUUAAUAUAUACCUAGGUAUAGGUAUAUGUAUAUUUAUUUUGAAAUAAAUUACACUUUUAACAGUUUAAUGGAGUUUUUAAAGCCAGUUAUAAUAUUUAUAUUUUAAAAACUUGAAAUCAUAAUGUGGAUGUAAUCACGCAUUAAACCACAGACUAACUUAUAUAAGUCAAAAAGUAGAUUUUAGUGUUAACUUUAUAUAACUUGUAAGUAAAAUAAUAUAUAAAACAAAUAUGAAAAAACCAACAAUUCUAAUGUAUAUAUUAAAAUACAGUACAAUAAUAGGUAUCUGAUAUCCUCACUUAACGUAGAAUAAUAUUCUACCCAACUCAAUACUAUGUCCAACAUGAGUUUCAAAUAUAUCGGGCCCUAAUCGUUC